CUCGGGGUCCAGGAUCCCACCCAAGUCGCUGCUUUCCGCUAAAGGCCAGGCGCUUCGUGGAAGUCACGUGGCAGCACCGAAGCCCACCCACGGAGGAGACCCCGCGUGGGUGGGGACGAGGUGCUGGCGCGGCGCCGCCUUGGACGGUCCUCCGGCCGCUCCGGGGAAGUUCGGACGAAGUGGCUUCACUGUCCCUUCGCUGCCUCCCCUCUACUCCCAAGCGCGGGUUACCGGCGAUGGGGGGCAUUUCUUCCGGGCGACGUGGCACCUGGACCGGAGGCGCCAGUGGGCAGGGACAGCGGCGGAGACCCUCCGCGCGAACGGGGCAGCGGGAGCCUCAGGGCUUUUCUACCGCAGCGUCGUCCGGUCCAGUAGGAGGGAGGGGGCGAGGUGACUCGGAGGGCGGAUUCUGAUGGGGGUUGGGGGAAGGCGGCAAAAGGAGGUUGUGAACUGAAACUGUGAAAGGUGUCCUCCACACUAGCCGUCCAUCCUCACGUAUUCAGGGAUAUGGGCAGGCCGUGCUGCUUCUGCUUCUUAAGAUUAAGGUGAUACCUACUAAAGACUAAACUACAUGGUUGCCACGUUUAUGCCAGACUAGGUAGAGACAUAUCUCACCCCUCUUCACCUGCCUGCCGGGUUUUAAAAUACCAAGUCAAGAUGACUGUGCCCAGCAAAGAAAAACAACACACAAAAAACCCUAACAGGUGCAGACUUGUGGUCUGUGCUUAGGGGAGAAAAGCUAACCGCGAACUGGGGGGACAGGUGAGAACCAGACAAGUGUGGCCUUUCUCACGUGUUCAUUUUGGCCUUCUGGCUUCUGGGCAGUGGGAGAGGUGACCUUCCUGAGUCCCCACCCGGUGCGCAUGGCUCUGUGCCAGGAUUUAAGACCUCAGCCUGGAGAGAGGAACUUGUUUGAACCUGCCUGGCUGGCUUCAGGCUCGAGGAGAGAUGGUCAUAUGUGUUAGUAGGUCAUAGCAUAGCCAGUGUUCAUGAACCAUGCAUUAAUAGAAGAGCCUUUCCAUGCUAUGAGUUCCGCCCAAAUCCCUCUUCUAGCAACAACAUAAAGAGUGUGUGCGCGCGUGCAUGUGUGUAUGUGUGUGUGUGUGGGUGUGUGAGAGAGAGAGAAUGUGUGUGUGACUGUAUAUGUGAGAGAGAAUGUGUGUGUUGUGUAUGUGAGAAAGAGAGAAUGUGUGUGCGUGUGUGUAUGAGAGAGAGAGAGAGAGAGAGAGAGAGAGAGAGAGAGAGAGAGAGAGGGAGGAGGAGGAGGAGAGAGUGAAGAGACAGACAAGCACAAUUUCAUCUCACACAGUAUACAGGAGCACACAAAAGACCUCUGUCCUUAAAAAUUGAAGGACCCUGUUGGCUGUGGUGGCCUAAGCCUACAGUUUCUCCACUCAGAAGGUUGAGGCAGGAUUUCCACAAGUUCCACUCACUGUAUAGCCUGGGCUAUAAUACAGUAACAGCCAGGCUAGCCAGAGCUAGAUAGCAGGACAGGGUCUCAAAGCAGCCAAAAACAAGCAAAAUAAUCAACUUUUGGGGCAAGCGGUCAUAACUGUUAAACAGUUUCCUCCUCCCAUGUUUGAGAAUGGGGGGAAUCCUCCACCUAUCAGUGUACAGUGGCUCCUUUCCUGUUCUUUUUUUUUUUUUUUUCUUUUUUUCGGAGCUGGGGACCGAACCCAGGGCCUUGUGCUUGCUAGGCAAGUGCUCUACCACUGAGCUAAAUUCCCAACCCCUCCUUUCCCGUUGAAAAGCUGCACCACGUUCUAAGUCCUCUAGGGUCCUCCCCACAGAGCCUGGGGCUGGGGCCAGCAACAGACUUAUAUUGGCUUAGUCUACUUAUGGGAUUGUUUCUCUUUUCCUUUCUUUCUACCCCCCGACCCCCAAACGCACUCAUACACACAUUGGGUUCUCUGUGUACAGUCCUGGAUGUCUUUGAACUCACUUUGUAGACUAGGCUAACCUUGAACUCAGACAUCUGCUUCCUGAGCACUGAGACUAAAGGUGCAUGUCACCAUGCCCAGCAUCGAAUGAUUUCUUUCCCUUCAUAUAAAUCUGCACACCAUAUGAGUAUCUGGUCCCAGAAGAAGGUGUCAGACCCCUGGAAAUGGAGUUCUGGAUAGUUAAUUGUGAGUCACCGUGUGGCUGCUGGGAGUGGAACCUGGGUCUUCUCCAAGAGCAGUAAAGUGCUUUUCACCCAACCGGUCAUCUUUCCAGCCCCUAGAAUUGUCAUCUAUUUUGCAUGCUUUCUUAAACUUCUUGAAAAGGUUGAUGCUGGCUUCUUUACACAUGCCACGUUUACAAAACAACAUUCUAUUUAUUUCUGUUAUCCCCACGAAACUAUUACAGUAUGGCGCUAGGUUCAUUUGCCACACUAGAGUGCCAAGAUGAAUGCCAGCUUGGUCUAUAUAUAAAGUUCCAGGCAAGUCAGAAUUGCAUAGUCUAUCAGAUAGACAGACAGACUGACAGAUAGACAGAGUAAACUGGGUGUGGUGGCACACAGCUUUGAUUCCAGCAUUCGGAGGCAGAGGCAGAUAAAUUUGAAUUUGAGGCCAGUCUGGUCUACAUAGUAAGUUCUGUCUCAAAAACACAAAAUGAAUGAAUGAAAAAGAAAAGCAAAACAAGCUUCAAAUCUCUGUUUUCUUUUAAUGUGUUUUCCCUUGAACUGGGAGGAGAUCUGGUAUGAUUUGUCAGGUUCCUAUUUAUACCACAAUGACUCUGAGUUGUGUCUCUGAGGGGUGGGGGAUGCACUGUAGGUUCAGGACUCCGUGAGGAGAUGUAACAGGUUCAGAGCUUGGCGAUCCAACGCUCUGCUGGUUCAUUUCACCAGAAGAUGGUUCUUUCCAAUAACAAGCCGCUUAGAUGCGUGAAGGUCCUGUGAGCAGUUCACUCCUGCUGUUCUUUUUUAGGAAACUGGUCUUCUAGUAAAUGUCUUCUCAUGGCUUUUCUCAGAAGACGGAGUCCUGUGGGCCUCUGGUGAGGCUAGGGAAGAGAAAGCCAAAGGUAGAGACCACUGUACUUACCAGAAAUUGGCCACUGUGUGUCAGCCACUGUGGGCAGGAGAGCCACACGUCAGGGAACUCCCUGUAGAUAGUCAGGCAAACACUGGAGUACUUUGGAUGUGGUCUAUCUCCAGAUGGAGUGUAAAAAUAAGGGCUGGAGAGGGCUGGUAUGUGGAUGGUGUUUUCAAACAGGGAGCUCAAUGAAGCUUCUCUGUAGGGCUGUGGAGACACCUGGAGGAUGUGGUCCACGCUGCACCAACACAGAAGUAAUGUUCUUGUGGAAGUGCCUGGUCAUUCAAGAAACUACAGGAGACGCCAGGGUCUAGAGUGGCCUGAGGGAGAGACAGGGCACCUCGAGAUGAGAGCAAGAAGGGAGUGAACGCCCCUACUUCAGGGCCACCUUUUACUUGACAUAAGGUGGGAAACACAAGGCAUCUGAGCAGAGGUUUGGCUUGAUCUGGCUUCAGAUGCUGUGGGGCCAUGUUGGUCACCUCACAAAAGAGACCAAUGGAGACCAAGCAUCUAAAACAGGAGCCAGCAGACUCCCUCCCAAACAACGACAUUUGCAAUGGGAUAUUUAAGUCUCAAGAACAAAUUGAAAACAACAAGGAGACCCAGAAGAUGAGGGCCAUGAUCCAAGUGACCUGGGGUAGGGCUGGGAAGACUGUGGAGGGCCAAGAACGGUCUACUGGGAGCUUUUGAAUGGAAGGUUCUCAGUGCCUCACUACCAUGGCCCACCCUGACCCGGAGUGGCCUUGCUUGUGUCCACCUGGUGGGUGACCUGUUCACGAAUGCAUUGUUUGCUUUUGUCACAGUGAACAAAAUCCUUGUCAGAACACCACAAGGGACCUGGGGGGAUGGUUAAAGUGAGAGGCAAGCCAUGGAACUGGAGUUCAGAGUCCCAGAACCCUUGUAAAUUCAGAAUGGGCGGGGUUGGGGAUUUAGCUCAGUGGUAGAGCGCUUGCCUAGCAAGCGCAAGGCCCUGGGUUCGGUCGGUCCCCAGCUCGGAAAAAAAGAAAAAAAAAUUCAGAAUGGGCGUGGUGGCCUAUGUGUAGGUCCAGCUUUCUGAGGCAGAGACAAGGGAAUCCCCAAAGAAAGCAGGCUAGUAAGAUAGCUAUUUUGUUCACUGGGAUAAUGAUCAAGAUUUGAUUCUCUACAUCAACCUCAGGCCUUCAUGUGGCCCCACACAUGGAGAGAGGCACACACACACACACACACACACACACACACACACACACACACCACAGAGACCAGAAAAUGGACUAAGGGACAUGGGCAGGGCAGGAAGAAAAUACUACAAGCCUCAGAGGUUUCAGUCGGGCAGAGCACAAAAAAUAUAGUGACAGUUCUGGCAAGUGGACUGUUGACAACUGGCUGGGAAGCAGGGUCCACCAGGGUGACUCUACCUUCUAAAAGUCCUAUGGCCUCUCGACAUAGCACCACCUACUGGGAGAAACAUUCACACAGGAGCCUGUGAGGACCAUUUUCAAUAGUCAAUGAAACUUGGGAAAGUGAGAUAUUUUAACCACAAGUGGGCAAGGACAUUGUCUCUUCUCAGCCCAUCAUCCUGUAGCCCCCUCGAGUCUAGUGGUGUUGAGGUGACUUGAGGGACCCCAGAAAAGGCAGACUUAGCCAGGCAAGUGCACACAUGGGGCCCUGCAUGUGCUUCACAGACGCUUGUGUGCAGAGACAGUUGGUUUUUUUUUUUCCCAGUUGUAUGACCUCCAGGAAUAUCUCCACUGCCCUCUGUGCUGAACUGUGCAAUAGCAUAUGCUCUACAAAGACAAAAACACCUCCCACACAGCCCAGCGCCAGAAUUAUGUGGGUGGUGGAAGGGAAAUCAGAUCUAAACUGAACGCCCAAGCCUCCGGUCUGAAAAUCCUGUGUCAUCAAACAGAGCCGUAAGCAUCUGAGUCUCUUCUUGUUUAUAAUCCUUCAAAACAGAGUCUGUUCCCUUCAGGAAUUAAAUGCACACACAAGCGCUGAGGGGAGCUCAGGAUCUUCUUGUGUGUUUCUUGUUAACAGGAGCAACACUUGUAACAAUAUUAAUAACAUUAUUAUUAUUAUUAUUAUUAAUUUUAAGUGUGUGUGUUUUCUGUCUGCACUCAUGUCUGUGCCUGGUGCUUGGAAUGCCAGAUCAGGUUGUUGGGUCUUCUGGACCUGGAGUUACAGACGGUCGUGAGCCAGGAACCUUGGUCCUAUGGAUGGGCAGCUGGUUGAUGAGUCACCUCUCCAGCCACUUGAAUAUGACAUUUCAGCUGUUACUUGGAAACACACUAGAAUAUUUCAGUAAGCAAGUUAACAGAGGUAAACUCCUGAUCUGUCCUUUUGUGGAGGACAGAGUGCGUGACCUUCUACCUUGUUUACAUGUUAACUGAAAAUUUUAAAAUGUGUGAAACCAAGGAAAGGUGGAAAAGGUAACUUCAGGGACUUUGCAGCCAGUGGCAGUGUCACCUAAACACAAACCAGUUGUGAGGAAUCUCAGACGACACCAGAGAAAGUGGCUCAGUUAGAGGGACAGACAGAUCGGUGCAGCUUGGACUGUCUCAUGGUCCCGGCAUGAGGUAGAGUGGGCUGCAAAAACAUGAACAAAUGACUCGGCUCUCCCCACCGCCACCCAGAACCCGGCUUGUAAACCACCCGUUCUAAGAACUUCAACAUGAAUCACAGGAAAAGAAAUCAUGAAAUGUCCUGAAAAAUUACAGCUUAGAUGCUUUAAAAAAAAGUAGGGACUUUUCUAAGUCUGUCAACUCUUUAAAAUUACAUGACAUGACCUCUCCCAAAUACAUACAAAUGUCAUGUGGAAUAUAAAAAAAUUUAGCCAGGUGUUUCUUAAAUUAUGCAUUCACAUGGCUGGGUUAUGUUUUUAGUCUCCAGAAUGAGGUACUAGAGAUCCUUAACACGGUAAGCAAAGCAGCUAGUUGGAAAUGUAUACAGAGUGAUCAGCAAAGCAGCUAGUCAGAAACACAGUGAUCACAGAGGCACCAAGAAGUUCAUAAGAUACAGUGUUUCCUUGAACAUAGCGAUCUUCUUUCUUUAUAUGAUGAGCUCUGCCUUGUUUGUCUUAUAUUAACACUUUUUAGACUUAUUUUGCCUCCAUGUAUGUAUGUGUGCACCGGGUGCAUACCUGUGGCCAGAAGAGGGCAUUGCAUCCCCCAGAACUGGAGUUACAGACAGUAGGGAGCCACCAUGCAGGUGCUUGUGACUCAAGCCUGGACCCUCUGGAAGAGCAGCCAGUGCCCUCAGCCGCUGCGUGGUCUGUCCAUCAGUCCUGCCAGCUGAGUUCUACAUCCUUGCUGAUUUGGUUGUCCUGUUUGUCACGUUCAUUUUUCCUGUCUAGUAAGUGCAUAAUUUUAUUCACCAAUCAUAUUAAAUUUGCCUUUCCAUUCAUUUUGGUGAGAUUGAUCAUGAAAUUUAACGUUCUCUUUCCUUCCUGAUUACAGGUCAAACAUGUAGUAGUUUAAAAUUUUCCCAAUAUCAAAUUCCACGUGUGUGUGUGUGUGUGUUUCACGUGUGUAUGUUCACAUGUGUAUGUUCACAUGUGCACAUGCAUGUGGAAGCCAGAGGUGUACCUCAGAUGUAAUUUUCAGGGGCCUUCUGCCUUGUGUUUUGAGACAGGAUCUCUCAAUGUCCUGGAGCUCAACAAGUAGGUCAGGCUGUCCGGCCAGUGAGCCCAGGAAUCCUCCUGUCUCAUCUUCCUCAAUGGUAGGAUUACAAGUUUAUGUCACCACUCCUAGAUCAUCAAGUUUGGUUCUUCUUUCUCACAAGGCACCACUGAGUCGCUGUUACUCAAAUUUAACCCUUUAUGAACUCUGCUUUGGUUCCUGUUCUGGAAGAGGCCUCUGCUGAUGUGGCCACGCUCAGAAGUACCUUCCAACCCCUAUGUCUGUGUGCAACUCUCCUGCCUGUCCCCUGCCACACACACACAGCAGAGUGCACAGCCAGCACACGUGUGGGCAAACAGCCUUCUUUUUCUAACGGGUGUGAUCUCAAAUGUUUGAGGACUCUGCAGUGUCCUUCCGGGUUAUCUAAUUUAUCUGGGUGGACGCCCACUAGGCUAUAGUUUACAGCGCUGGUGCUGCAGUUUCUCAUCAUUGUUUUGGCCCCACAUGUUCUUCAAAUAUACUUCCUCUUACUCUCCCCUCAGUGGAUGCAGAAAGGCUCUAGCCAGCUGGCCCUUCUAUCUGCCAGGGACCUUCACAGAACUGAGCAUGCCCAGUCUUGGGCGAUUUGUCAUGCUCUCUCCUCCGUGUCUGAGCCCCGUUACCCAGGUGUGUCACUCUGAGGCACCCCUUACGUGUUGUUUUCCUAAUAAUCGCUCUCCUAGGUUAUUUGAGAUUGACCUCUCUGAAAGCCGGGAGCUACAUCCCAUGGCUCUGGGAUGUGCUCUCUGGCCUGACUUUAUGCUAAACCUCUGACCUGGCUUUGGAUCAUCUUGUGGCCAGCUCUUGCUGAGCCUUACAGCCUGUGACUGAAGCAUGAACUUCCUGGUAAAAGUCAUAGAGAGCUACCCAGAUAGUUCCCAGAACUGGCCACUUUCUCAAUCUAUGGGGAGUGGAGAAGGAAAAACAGUACAGAUUUCCUGUGUUUCCAGCCAGGGCUCCUCCCAGACAUCCUGGAAAGCGUGGUUACAAAGAACAGGCCAGGGGCCCCAGCAAGGGACAGCAUGCAUGACUGAGGACCAUGUUCUUCUGGGGCUCAGGUGGGAAAAGGCUUGUGAGUGUCCUCGUUUCCUUUCUACUGCUCUGAUAAAACACUAAACAACCUGGGGAGGAGAGGGCUCAUUUCAUCCUACACUUUGCAGUCCAUCCCUGAGGGAAGUCAGGGCAGGAACUUGGGGUCGGGAAGUGAAGCAGAGACCAUGAGGAAUGCAGCUCACUGGCUUGCUCUCCGUGGCCUGCUCAGCCCGCUUUCUUACAACACCCAGGACUACCUGCCCAGGGUUGGUGCCAGCCAGGGAGCCGAGCCUUCCCCAGUCAAUCAUUGGUCAAGAAGACGCCCUGCAGGUCUGCCCUCUGGCCGGUCUGAUGGGGGCAAUUCCUCCAUUAGGGUCUCCCUUCUCAAGUGACUCCUCUGUCAGGCUGACAGGGGGUAGCCAGAGCAGCUAGCAUGCUCUCGACCCUGGGCUCAGCUCCCAGCGCAGAGUAAGCCAGGUGCGGCGCAGCCCUGCCUGCCGUCAUGACCAGGACUUCUGGGUCAUUUCAGCUACAUAACGAGUUUACACCAUUUAACCCGAACUCCUACCCCCACGACAGAGAAGCUCUGGUUUCUUGGGGCAGCCUAGAAGCUCCAGGAAGUUGACGUUCACCCAAGUUGGUCCCUUCUGCUUCCUCAUUUCUUUCCAAGCCACUUACUUCUAAACGUGGGGUCACUGAAACUGCUCAAGCUUCCCCGGGUGCCAGGGAAGCUGAGAGACACAGUCCUGGUACCCUGUGCCUCAAACUGGAUCCUGCAGGAGUGUGGCUGGGAACUGUGUGCACAGAGCCCUGGCAGUGAUCUGACAGCCAGGACGAGUCCCCUGCUGGGAGCCCAAGGCACCUGAUGGUGCUAAACACAUGCAGAAGCGGGGAACCGUGUUCCCCACCAGAAACCACGUGGAGGGCCAUGAUCUGUGCUCCUGCUGACCGUGAAGAGCACUGAUACCGAGGACUGCAGAGUGGGGAGAGAGGGACGAGGUAGGCUUUUGUGACACACACCCCACCCCACCCACCCCCACCCCCACAGAAGCCACCAAAGAGAACUCUCCAGUGUGGGCUGCACGGACUGUGCCACCAGAGGAGCUGGCAUGGAACUGCUGAAGUACAGCGUGCUCAGACCCCAGGAACCCCAAAACUCUAGAUUUAAAAUCUCACUCUGGGACGGCAGGAGAGGGACUAACUCCUCCUCUGUUUUUCCAUGCCUGCCUUGGAGCAUGUGACCCAGCGAACCCAAACAGGCGAUCACAGAUAGUCAUGUAGCCCAGCACCUGGAAUUCUUCCUCCAUGCUACUGCGUCAUCCUGGACAUUCUCACCCCUUUCCCCCAAACUAAAUAACCCUUGGUUCAUCCUGAAUAAAGUGUCUGCGUAUAAGCCCACCCUGAAGAAAGGUAUAUGCACAAGCUAAGAUGGUCUAGGAGCUGUUCCGUUAAAGAUGGCCAGAGAAGGCCUGAAGGGGCUGUAACACUGAGAUCCUUGGGGAAGGCCUUCUCUCCCCGCCCCACCCCACUCCCUCUAUGCUCCCCACCCUGCCCCACAGCCUUCACUCCCAACUGGACCAGCAUCCUGCCCACUUCCGACUCCACUUCAUCCUUGGAGCCCAGAAUGCUGCAGUGUCCGUACACCCUUAGAGGAGAGGCGGAACCCCAAAGCACACUUAAAUGUGAAGGAGAUGAAGUGUGGCUCUCCACAACUGACGGCUUCUGGUGGAAGUACAGGAGGGAUAGACUCCAUCUAAAGGGCAGGCCACUGAGAGUUUGACCAUGCUCCAGUGAGUAGACAGAAAACAGAGUGGAUUUGUUUCCAUUUUUUACUUCUUUUGUUGGGGGCAGGUCCCAAGGGGGGUGACAAGGAAGAACUGGAAAGGGAUUGUGAUACGAAACUCCCAGAGAAUCAAUAAAAGUGUUAUGUGGGGGAAAAAAAUUCCCAAAGUGGCCUUCAGUCCUGUGGGAAGGGUCGUCCACCUCUUAUUACUGUCUGGCUUUGGGGCUCUGCCCUUUAUCGAUCUCAUUGUUUUAGUCUCUAGCUCACACCUCCUUCCAAAAUACCCACAGGGGCUUUUGGAUCCUCCCAUCAUUCAAGAGGGAAGCCACCUCUUCAAGGAAGUCUUCCUUCAGGCCCUCAGUGUGAUCAGCCCCUGUCCUCCUAGAGCCCCCCACCUCCCUUCUCCACAGAAUGUAAACUCUGCAGUUUACCCGGCAGCUCACCAUGUCCCAGAUUAUAAGGCUGUAAUCUUAGGGGAUGCCUCCUGAGAGGUGGGGGGCAUGUAACUGAUUACUACGGGGUACGGAGUGGCGAGGCUGCUAUAGAAGACACCAGACUUCACCAGUAGCCGUGCACACUUCGCCCUUCAAACUGAAACUUGUGCAUUUCUGGUGAGCGUAACGGUGCAGCACUUCACCAAGAGCUCCAGCAGUAUUGAUCCCACACGUGUCCGACCAGGGACCAGCAAGAGGCAUGCACUGGGUUAAGUGCCUCGGAGGGACUCUCAGUGAAGUUUGAAGCUGGGGGAGCUGUUGGCUGCUUUGUUAUUUUUGAGACAGUCUUACUAGGUAGCACAGGCUGGCUUCAAACUUAUGACCUCACUGACCUAGCCCGAGUGCUGGGGGUCAUGCACCUUAGGUCAGGACUGCAGGGCUAAGUUGGUUUUUUCACAUAUUUUAUUUUAUGCACGUGGGUGUUCUGCCCACGUGUAUUUGUGUACCACAUUUGUGCCUGGUACCCGAAAGUCAGAAAAAGGUUGGAUUCCUUGGAACUGAAGUUUCAGACAGCCAUGAGCCGGUGGGUGCUGGGAAUUAAACCCAGGUCCUCCGGAAGAGCAGCCAGUGCCGGUGCUCUUGAUCACUGAACCAUCUGUCCAGCCAGUCUCCAUGGCAGCAGUAAGCCACUCCAGUAUCCAUGCCUUUGUGUGGUUCCCUGCCUGACCCUGAGUCAGGGCUGGCUUGUGAGCUUUUAUUAAUGGAGCGGGGUGGGGCUGGAGAGACGGCUCUGUGGUUAAGAGCUGCUAUUACAUAGGACUGAGGUUUAGUUCCCAGCACCCAUGCGGAAGCCCACAACUACCCGGAGCUCCAGCGUCGGGGGCUGUGGGCCUUUUCUGGCCUUGGUAGGUACGGCAUACACGAUGCACAUGCAUACACGUGGGCGGAGUGCAUUAAGGUAAGUACAUUUUUAAACAGACUAGAUGUGAGCUGUCAUUAGAAGGCUGCUGGGCCUGGGCUUUGGAGAUGGGGCUGACGGAGCGGGAGCCGGUCCCUAGAGACCGGACCUGGUGCUCACACUGCAUCUUCUGACAGACCCGUGCCAGUCAGCCUUCACAGCUCCUGAGACUAGGCAGGGUCAGGUCAGACAGUAGACUGACGUGACGAUCAGCAGGCCACUAAAAUGACAAUUAAAAUUUCUGUUUCUUGGGCUGGAGAGACGGCUCAGUGGUUAAGAGCACUGACUGCUCUUCCAGAGGUCCUGAGUUCAAUUCACAGCAACCACGAGGUGGCUCACAACCAUCUGUAAUGGGAUCUGAUGCCCUCUUUUGGGGUGUCUGCAGACAAUGACAGUGUACUCACAUACAUAAUAUAAAUAAAUAAACCUUUAAAAAAAAACCUUUAGUUUCUCCAAAGAGAAAAGGUGAUGGAUUAAAUGUGUGGAGUAAAGGUAUGGCAUGGGCUGUUGUAAAAUGUGGCGAGCCAGUAUCAGGAAAUCGCUGGAAACUUUAUUAAAUCAGCUCAGUGAUUCAGUGUUUCCUGUGACUGGUAUCUGAGCGGUGAGCUCUUCACACCCCGGCUUUGGCGGCUGGAAUAUCACAGACAGCAAAAACGCAUUUGACCCGAGGAAACCUGCUUUAAACAUGUUUCCUUUUGUAAACUGCCCCUACUCCUUUACACUAGCCACGCCUGAUGUGUGGGAAAUUCAGAAAGUUUUCUUGUCUGCCAUUAUUGAGAACAGUCAGGAGGGAGAGGUGCAAAGCUGAGGCCACCCGAGACCAGACUCGGUCUCAGCCGAGAGCCAGGCCUCUUUGUGCCUGUUCAGAUAUCCGCUGGAAGGCAGCAAGGGGCUUAGCCACUCUCAGCUCCAGCUCCUCAAGACAGUGGGGGUGAUGCUGCCCCAUCUCAGGAGGUCUUAGCAGCAUGUGGGAAUUACUGGUACUUUGCAAGCACAUGGGCUCAGUGGCAGAUUCUUGCCCAUUGAGGCUUGUCCAAUAAGGCUCCCCCACAGAUGCUUGCCCACUGAGGCUCACCCACUAUGCCCAAGACCUUGGCUAAACAAGUUGCCAGCACUCCCAGAUGUAGUGGUAAGGGGCUAGGAGUUGGACAGAUCUCUGAAAUGAAUUAGACAGAAAGAGGAGACAGGUUCUUGCUAUGUAGCCCAGGCUGGCCUCAAACUUGACAUCUUCCUGUCUUAGUCCCCGUCUAAAAAAGAACAGAAACGACAAAAGACCAGCCUGGACAGCACAGCCAAGACCUAUGUAAAUAAUCUUAAUUAUUUGCAAGUUACCUUAAACAGCGCUGUUGUCUGAACUCAGGGCCUUGAAUAUUCUAGGCAAGUACUCUGCCACUGCACUGAGCAAAUCUGUUCCUGCAACAUUUUAAUGAGAUUUCCUUCUGGGAGGCACGAAAGAGGAAGUGAAUUUCAUUAGGAAAAUUGUGUUUUCUGAGGAUUCAAAUUCUGGCUUGCCAUGCUAACAGUCAUGCAGCUCUAGCUGAGAUCUCUGUGGGGGAAGCCCCUUUCACAGAUGACACUGAGCGAAGCUGCUCACAGCUCUUCUGCUGCCUUAGCUGACAGGCCCUUGGUUCACUCUGUUAGGGACCCAGCAUAAGCCUCCAGCUUGAAGUCACUGGAGUCCUGAGGGCAGGCCUGGGGGUGCUGGGGUUGGGCUGGGGACGCAGACCCCAUCACCCCAGGCAGAGGGCAGCGUUUGUUUACGGACAUCUUAGUGCUCCACUGCAGUUUCUGGAAACAAAGCCAUUUCUUGCAAACAGUUAAUUCCACAGAACUUGCCAAAGCUCGAGCGAGUUUCACUCUCAUGUUCCCUCCAGAGGUCAAAGUGCGAGGGGCUCUGGCUCCCGGCCUCCCUCAGAUCCUACUUCUCUCUAAAGGAGCCUCGGCGACCGCAGAUGUCACGUAACUGGAGCACACUGGACAGGUGGGGGAUCUCCGCCCAGCCCCGAGGACCUUGCUGCUGAGUCAGCAAGUACGUGUGGCAUGAGACAUGCAUGACUCCUGCAUUCAAACUUUGAUUAUGAAACUUUCCAACACAUAAAGGAGUUCAACUACAACCAACAACUGACAUCUUGUCACAUUCGUCUCCUCCUUUUGGUUUUGUUUUGGGGGUGUUUGUUUGUUUGUUUGUUUUGUUUUGUUGACAAGGUAUUGUCAGGCAUCCCAGGUUGGCCGCAGACUCUCAAUGCUCCUCCUGUCUCCGCCUCCCAAGUGCUGGGGCUGUAGGCAUGGGACUUAUUUGUCUCACCUUUUGAAAGCAUUUCCUGCUUGAUCAUCACAUCUAAACUCCUUCAGUCUAUGACUACAAGAGCUUCACGCAGCUUCACCACACUGGGGCACACAGCACUUGUUCCAUCCGAGUCUGUGUUCCGGGCUCGGCUCACAUUUGGCUGCAGAACAGACUCUUUUAUUCCCUUUAAGGGGAGCGUCCAGGAGGGCUCAGAACCUUCAGUUUUUGAUGAAGUCUGACUCUUCAGCACCUAAUUCCCAGUCUGUUCGCUUCUCAAUACAACUGUCCAGAUUCACCGAAUUCUGAUCAAAAAUACUGUCUGCAUCAAUGUAUACAGUAGCUGAGGCUCCUUUAGAGAGAAGUAGGAUCUGAGGGAGGCCGGGAGCCAGGGCCCCCUGCACUUUGACCUCUGGAGGGAACAUGAGAGUGAAACUUGUGGAAUCAACCUCUGCCUAGGUUUCCUUGGUAACCUAUCAGCAGGCAUGGUUACACUUCCUUCCUUGGAUAAGUAGCCUACUUACUGCUUCUAGUGCACCUGCUGCCCGCUCUGUGACCUUGCUCAGGGUUCUGGAGUCCCAGAGCAGGGCAGCUUCGGAUGAAAGCCACAUUCGUGUAUUUACCCUGGAAGAGCAGAAGAGCCAGUGGGUUCGUGGAGAGAGGCCCUGCUGAGAGAGGGAAGGCUGAGCCAGGAAGUCAAACAGCUCCUGUAAGAACCACGCUUAUGGGGCUGGGGAUUUAGCUCAGUGGUAGAGCGCUUACCUAGGAAGCACAAGGCCCUGGGUUCGGUCCCCAGCUCCGAAAAAAAGAACCAAAAAAAAAAAAGAA